rnacentral:tRNA from 1 species
GGCUUGGUAGCUCAGUCGGUAGAGCAGAGGACUGAAAAUCCUUGUGUCGGGGGUUCAAUUCCCUCCCAAGCCACCA